AGCAUUCAAACUGGCCAUAUCCGGCCCAAAUAUUUUACCUCCUUUUUGUUCAAAACCAGUCAGAUCCAGCCUCUUACCCUAUCCUACAAUAUUAUUCCCAAAGUAAAGAGUCACAUCGCAGAAAUCUCACAGCUAUGAGAGAAUGCAUGAUUAAUUCAAUGCAAUAUGAAUAAACAAGCAUCACAUUUGGGAGAAUAAUCUGAAUACUAAAGGGUUAACCUUUUAGAAUUUA